GUAGAGAUGGUUCAGCGGUUAAGAACACUGGCUGUUCUUCCAGAGGACUUGGGUUCAAUUCCCAGCACCCACA
rfam:Mesocricetus auratus contig157024, whole genome shotgun sequence.